rnacentral:misc_RNA from 1 species
CGCACAUUGCGCCCUUUGGUAUUCCGAAGGGCAUGCCUAUUCGAGCGUCAUUAUCACCCCUCAAGCCCCGGCUUGGUGUUGGAUUGGGUAAAUUAUACCCCUCUCAAAGAUAAUGACGCCGUCCCAGAGGGAAACGGUACGAGGAGCUUUCUAAGCAUGUACCGAAGACGACUCUGUGACGGUGGUCCCUUUACUUAUACUUCUAAGUGUUGACCUCGGAUUAGGUAGGAAUACCCGCUGAACUUAA